AAGCGCUUGCGACCAGAUUCCGCCCGCGGAGGCUCAACCGGCAAUUCUUUGGCGGUGCAAUCCUUUGCGGUCGAGCCAGCGUCAGUUUGGAUGGUUGGUUAAAGACUUUCGGAAUGUGUCGUCUUUCGGGACGUCUUAUAGCCGAAGGUGUAAUGCGGCCUGUCCAGACUGAGGAACGCGCUUCGGCACGGACGCUGGCAUAAUGGUCGUAAGCG
rnacentral:rRNA from 1 species